UCCCCACCCGGGUGCAUCCGAUAUUAUAGUAUACGUGACAUAUACUAUGAUAUCGAGUACACCCGGGUGGGGAUCGGAACACAGCACAAUGUCAAUGCGGCAACAUUGGGACUAGUAGCGUCUCACGGUUUAGUUAUCGCUCUGACCUCCGUCUCGUCGUAACGACUAUUUCUUCCUUCAGAAUACAAGAGCAUGUACACAUAUAUAGGACCGCACCAGGAGCAUGCGAUUGUACGAUGUGCGCCGCAACAGCCGUUAUCGAGACCCACUCUGGAACCAUCAUUACAAACACGAAAGAAAUGCCCAGAGCUUGCUUAUAAGACACACGAGUUUAGCACAAGAGCGGACGAUGGUGGUAUCGAUGCCAUCGACUCGAACGUCGUAGCCGAUAAGG